UCAGAGGGUCAGACGAUUGCGUGCGUGAAAAUGUGCGAGGAAAGUCCGGGCUCCAUUAAAGCAGGAUGCCGGGUAACGCCCGGCCUUUGCAUUCCUAACGGAAUACAUUGAGGGAAAGUGCCACAGAGAGAAGACCGCUCUUAAAUGAGUAAGGCUGAAAGGGUGCGGUAAGAGCGCACCGCCGCAAGGGUAACUAAGCGGGCAAGGUAAACCCCAUUCGGAGCAAGACCAAAUAGGAACGGUAUAAGAUGUGCUUUAUCAUCGCUGUUCGGGUGUGUCGCUUGAGGGUGUUAGCAAUAGCACUCCCAGAGGAAUAAUCGUCACUGUUUCGGCAGGACAGAACCCGGCUUAUCGACCCUUUGACAUU
rnacentral:RNase_P_RNA from 1 species